rnacentral:rRNA from 1 species
UACGUAGGGGGCAAUCGUUGUCCGGAUUUAUUGGGCGUAAAGAGCGUGUAGGCGGCUUUACAGGUCCGUUGUGAAAACUCGAGGCUCAACCUCGAGACGCCGGUGGAAACCGUAAAGCUAGAGUCCGGAAGAGGAGAGUGGAAUUCCUGGUGUAGCGGUGAAAUGCGCAGAUAUCGGGAGGAACACCUAUGGCGAAGGCAGCGCGCUGGGACGUUACUGACGCUGAGACGCGAAAGCGUGGGGAGCAAACAGG